rnacentral:rRNA from 1 species
AUGUUGGGUUAAGUCCUGCAACGAGCGCAACCCUUGUUCCUAGUUGCCAGCAUUGAGUUGGGCACUCUAGGGAGACUGCCGGUGACAAACCGGAGGAAGGUGAGGAUGACGUCAGGUCAGCAUGCCCCUUACGCUCUGGGCUACACACGUGCUACAAUGGCGCGGACAAAGGGUCGCGAGCGCGCGAGCGUGAGCCAAUCCCAAAAACCGCGUCUCAGUUCAGAUCGCAGGCUGCAACUCGCCUGCGUGAAGGCGGAAUCGCUAGUAAUCGCAGAUCAGCAUGCUGCGGUGAAUACGUUCCCGGGCCUUGUACACACCGCCCGUCACACCAUGGGAGCUGGCCAUGCCCGAAGUCGGAGCACCCGCCGAAGGCAGGGCUGGUGACUGGGGUGAAGUCGUAACAAGGUAGCCGUACCGGAAGGUGCGGCUGGAUCACCUCCUUU